rnacentral:rRNA from 1 species
CAUAUCAAUAAGCGGAGGAAAAGAAACCAACAGGGAUUGCCUUAGUAACGGCGAGUGAAGCGGCAAUAGCUCAAAUUUGAAAGCUGGCCCCUUCGGGGUCCGCGUUGUAAUUUGUAGAGGAUGAUUCGGCGAGGGCUCCCGUCUAAGUCCCUUGGAACAGGGCGUCAUAGAGGGUGAGAAUCCCGUAUGUGAUGGGCUGCCUUAGCCAUGUGAAUCUCCUUCGACGAGUCGAGUUGUUUGGGAAUGCAGCUCUAAAUGGGAGGUAAAUUUCUUCUAAAGCUAAAUACCGGCCAGAGACCGAUAGCGCACAAGUAGAGUGAUCGAAAGAUGAAAAGCACUUUGGAAAGAGAGUUAAAAAGUACGUGAAAUUGUUGAAAGGGAAGCGCUUGCAGCCAGACUUGUCCGCAGUUGCUCAGCUUGUCUCCUGACAGGCGUACUCUUCUGCGGCCAGGCCAGCAUCAGUUCGGGCGGUCGGAUAAAGACCUGGGGAAUGUAGCUCCUCUCGGGGAGUGUUAUAGCCCUGGGUGCAAUGCGGCCAGCCUGGACUGAGGAUCUCGCUUCGGCUAGGAUGCUGGCGUAAUGGCUGUAAGCGGCCCGUCUUGAAACACGGACCAAGGAGUCUAACAUCUAUGCGAGUGUUUGGGUGUCAAACCCAUGCGCGUAAUGAAAGUGAACGGAGGUGGGAACCCUCACGGGUGCACCAUCGACCGAUCCUGAUGUCUUCGGAUGGAUUUGAGUAAGAGCAUAGCUGUUGGGACCCGAAAGAUGGUGAACUAUGCCUGAAUAGGGUGAAGCCAGAGGAAACUCUGGUGGAGGCUCGCAGCGGUUCUGACGUGCAAAUCGAUCGUCAAAUUUGGGUAUAGGGGCGAAAGACUAAUCG